rnacentral:rRNA from 1 species
GACGAACGCUGGCGGCAUGCUUAACACAUGCAAGUCGAACGGAAGGGCCCUGCUUUUUUGGGGUGCUCGAGUGGCGAACGUGUGUGUAACCCGUGAGUAUCCUGCCCUUGAGCGUGGGAUAUCUUCAGACAACUGCUGAUACUGCCGGCUAGGAGCUGCUGCAGCAUGGUGGGGUUUGGAACGUAUCGGCGGUUGUGGAUGGACUCGCGGCUUAUUAGCUUGUUGGUUGGGUAUUGGCUUACCCAGGCAUUGACUGGUAGCCGGCCUGGGAGGGUGACCGGGCACCUGGGGCCUGCGAGACGGCCCAGACUGCUAUGGUAGGCAGCAGUCGGGAAUAUUGCACAACGGGCGGAAGCCUGAUGCAGCAACGCCGCGUUCGUGAUGACGUCCUUCUUGUGGUAAACCGCUUUCGCCUGUGACGAAGCGUGAGUGACGUUAAUGGGUAAAGAAGCACCGGCUAACUACGUG